GACGAACGCUGGCGGCGUGCUUAACACAUGCAAGUCGAACGAUGAUGCUGGAGCUUGCUCCAGUUGAUUAGUGGCGAACGGGUGAGUAACACGUGAGCAAUCUGCCCUUGACUCUGGGAUAACUGCGGGAAACUGUAGCCAAUACCGGAUACUUUCACCGGGGGGCAUCCUCUGGUGAUGAAAGAAUUUCGGUCAAGGAUGAGCUCGCGGCCCAUCAGCUUGUUGGUGAGGUAACGGCUCACCAAGGCGACGACGGGUAACCGGCCUGAGAGGGUGACCGGUCACACUGGGACUGAGACACGGCCCAGACUCCUACGGGAGGCAGCAGUGGGGAAUAUUGCACAAUGGGCGCAAGCCUGAUGCAGCAACGCCGCGUGAGGGAUGAAGGCCUUCGGGUUGUAAACCUCUUUUAGCAGGGAGGAAGCGAAAGUGACGGUACCUGCAGAAAAAGCACCGGCUAACUACGUGCCAGCAGCCGCCGUAA
rnacentral:rRNA from 1 species